rnacentral:rRNA from 1 species
AGCGAACGCUGGCGGCAAGCCUAACACAUGCAAGUCGAACGAAGUCUUCGGACUUAGUGGCGGACGGGUGAGUAACACGUGGGAACGUACCUUUUGGUUCGGAACAACUCAGGGAAACUUGAGCUAAUACCGGAUGAGCCCUUAGGGGGAAAGAUUUAUCGCCGAAAGAGCGGCCCGCGUUAGAUUAGCUAGUUGGUGAGGUAAAGGCUCACCAAGGCUACGAUCUAUAGCUGGUCUGAGAGGAUGAUCAGCCACACUGGGACUGAGACACGGCCCAGACUCCUACGGGAGGCAGCAGUGGGGAAUCUUGAGCAAUGGGCGAAAGCCUGACACAGCCAUGCCGCGUGAAUGAUGAAGGUCUUAGGAUUGUAAAAUUCUUUUACUAGGGACGGUAAUGCCGGUACCUGGGAAAGAAGCCCCGGCUAACUUCGUGCCAGCCGCCGCCGUAACAC